rnacentral:rRNA from 1 species
UGUAAGCGUAUACCAAUGUUGUUGCAGUUAAAACGCUCGUAGUCGGAAUUUGGCAGUUCCGGAUGUGUGCACGUCGUGUGCGCACUUCGCGGGGAUUGCUUUUGUGGUCUUGCGUAGGAUGAGGCACUUUUAUUAGUGAACGUCCUCACGCAACCACUUUUUACUGUGAGAAAAUCAGAGUGCUCAAAGCAGGCAUUUGCCGUGAAUGUAUUAGCAUGGAAUAAUAGAAUAGGACUUGGUUCUAUUUUGUUGGUUUGUUGGGACUGAGUAAUGAUUAAGAGGGACAGUUGGGGGCAUUUGUAUUUCGGUGCUAGAGGUGAAAUUCUUAGAUUACCGAAAGACAAACUGCUGCGAAAGCGUCUGCCAAGGAUGUUUUCAUUGA